rnacentral:sRNA from 1 species
AACAGCCAAUCCCUUGGGGUAGAGUCAGAUAUCUCUGGAAUUAAUAGGAUCCAACGCCCAUUAAACGCCUUUUGAGCGCCGGACGUCUGGACUCAUAUUCCACAUUAGCCAGUAAAACAAGCAAUAAGCGCAACUAAUACAGAAGGCAUUCUAGUAACCUAAACUCAACCACCUAAAACGACCAAGUAAACCACAACAAUUCUAUCCCAUCCUCAGAAAUACAGUUCACUACUCAGACAUAAUCAAAGACAAUAGCAAAGCAACGAUUGAAAACAUGAUAACAGAAAUGACGAAAGACUUAAACGAAAACUGAAUAUCAAAUACUUGAAAGUGAAAAUACAAAGUCGCAGGAGAAACACUGCGGCUAUGAAAGUUGCAAAAAAGA